GGCAGGUGCAGUGCCACUGAGCUAAACCCCUGGCCCUUUCCUAUCUAUUUUUUAAGAUAUCCCAAAAAGAUUAUUGUUGAGAGGUAAACAAAUUUUUACAUUGUGGCAGAAAAUAAUCCAUACAGCUGGGCAUGAUGGCACACACCUGUAACCCCUGCCCUGAAAGAGGCUGAGGCAGAAGGACCACAAGUUCAACUCCUGCCUGAACAACUUGACUACAGGUACUGAGUCCUCCAGGACACUCCCUUUCAGUGACUCUUCCAAGUUGGUACAUCAGGCUAUGUGGCAGCCACAAAUUGAUCUGCCCAUGUCCAAACACUGGGAUGCUGGGAAUGGCAUGCAGCCACCAGAGCCACCUGGAGCAGAAGGGUGAUACCUUAGAGACUGAACCAGGGUAUACACCUGAACUCUACCUGAAGCCUGUCUGCAAGCAGGGAGUGAAUUUCACACACCAAUAUGAUGGAAGGUAAAAAUGUCAGUUAUUCAUAAAAGCUCAAGGACAAAAGGAACACAGAAUAAACACUUCAUAGCAAGUGAAAGCUAGAAAGCCCUUCCUGUGUCACAACACCAUAUGUGAAAAAAAGCCUUCCCCUGCUUUAGUCCUGGCAUCAAGCUCGGAAGUCCCACACCUAUGGGAGCAAAUCUGCAGGCAUUUUUUGUUUGGGGUGCAAAUGACUGAUAGAAAUUCCUUCCCUGUGUUGUUCUAUGCGAUCAUACAGAAAGCUGUAGGACAGCAAAGACAACUUGAAUUCUGAGGCCAUUUUUGUCUUAAAUGAAUGUAACAUUACAAGUGAAAUGAUAAAAGCAGUGUUGUUUUAAAAUUUCAAUAGCCAAAGGAUGGGGUCAGGUUCAUAGUUUAAAAAAAAAACAUAAAAUAUUAAACCUGAAACAAACUUGUCCAUUGUCCAAAUCCACACUUUUCACAAAUCAAAACUAAGGUGCAGGGAGAUGGAGGCUGGGGUAUAGCUCAGUGAUAAAGCAUUUGCGCAGCAUGCAUGAGGCUGUGGCUUUGAACCCCAGCACCAUCAAAUAACAAACAAACAAACAUGAAAAAGGUGUCGGGGAUAAAGUGUUUUUUAAGAGCAGUGGCUGCUCCAAGGGUAGCCCGUGUGUCUGUAACCACAAACUGCAUCUCCUGGAGUCCUCAAGUGAACAUACAGCCUCAGAAGAAACCAUUUGCAGAUAAUGGUUUCAGGACAAAUCCUCAAGAUUUCUUCUAGGAUUACUGACAUUCCUGUGUGAACUCUGAACCUCAGAUUUUGGUGGCACCCUAAUAGUGGACUGCCAGCCUCCAGAACAGUGAAAAUAAAUGUUUCUACAUCCAUCUAGUGAUUGUCAUCCAAGGCAACAAAAACCAAGGCCCACUUGUUAUUAGGUAGGAAAAUGAAUCCUAAAGCCACUGUUGGGCUGCAGCAGUUGUGUAUGUGUGUGUCUGUGUGUGUGUGUGUGGCAGUGGAAUUGAGUCAGAGACCUUGCCCUACCACUGAGCUCUAUCCCUAGCCCCUUUUCUAUUUUAAUCAGAGAGGGGUUGCCACGAAUUUGCCUUGAACUUGGAUCCCCCUCCUUAUUCUCCAGAGUAGCUGGGAUUGCAAGAGUGUGCCACUGGGCAUGGCUGAGAUUUCGUUGCUAAUAGGUUUGUGUAAUACUUUUGUUGUUCAUCUCCUUAUUUAGGGAAAGUAACACAUAUUAGGGGAGGAAGCAGGAACAUUUUUAUGUAAGCAAUAAAUAGUUUGAUAUCUGUAGGCCCAGGAGAUGGGUUACUGUGAUGUUUUGGCCAAAGCAGCCUUUGAGUCCCUGUCUGCCUCAGAGUGAACACAAAUCCUGAGCAAUGGGUUAAGGUACCAGGAUUGCAGCUGUCCUCUUUCCCUGUGGUGGCUCUGAGUGUCUCAUGCCACCACCACCCGCCACCCCUCCCACCAAGACUUUCUCCUCCUUCAUCUUAAGGAGAAAUGGGUGAAGAUCUCUGUGGUUUUUAGGAGUCACCAAGAUGCCAGAAGAAGCCUGGUGCCCCAGGACCAUGAGCAUUGCUUUCUGCUCGCCCCAAACACUGUCAAGUGGAGUUGGCUUCCUGAGUGACUGGAUCUGCACUGCUGCUUGCUCAGGCGCUGGAUGAUCACCCCAGAGUGCACCACCCUGGUGAGAGUCUGAUGGUUGUGCUGCUGGUUUCUAAAUGUGGGGACGUGAGUUAGUGACAAAACAGGAUGAAAUCCCUGAAAUGGAUAAAGUUGAUGAGAUUGAACAACACCUGGGCAGCAGGGCGAAAGGAGAGAAGCAGCACAGCUCUUGAGGAAGUGCAUGCUACCUACCAGUUGCUGAAAAUGCAUUUCAGCCCUCUGCACAACAUGGCUCCUUUCAGCCUCCACCAAGAAGAUGUACUGGAGGAAGCAGACAUGGAGAACACGAAUGCAUAUUUUAUUUAAAAUAAUAAAAUCACAGGACUAUAGAAGUGGGGCCAUCACACUGCUUAGUGUGCUUAGUGGAUUGGGUUGUGCUAAUUAAUCACUGAGGGUUUCUUUGGGGUGGGUUUCCUUGGAAGUGGGAAGACUUUUCUUGGUUGGGGUUGCUGGUGGGUUUCUGACUGUCACUCUCCUCCCCAUACACGAGAGGACUCUUUUCCGGAGCCAGCGGAAGGCCUGCCUCCAGUUCACACAGGUUGUGGUUUGUGUGUCAGAUCCAGUGUCAUCGUCCUCUGACUCCCCCAGGGAGACCGAGGAGGACUCCUUGGUGCUGGUCUUCAGCAUCUGG
rnacentral:lncRNA from 1 species